ensembl:rRNA 5S_rRNA 5S ribosomal RNA
GUCUACGGCCAUACCACCUUGAACGCACCUGAUCUCGUCUGAUCUUGCAAGCUAAGCAGGGUCAGGCCUGGUUUAGUACUUGGAUGGAAGAAAAAAUGAAUUUAGAGUAUCCGUUCUUU